rnacentral:tRNA from 1 species
GGUUGAGUGAGCUGUAGAAGCAAAAUGACUGUUAAUCAUUAGAGGCAGAAUUAUUCUGUGCUUGGCGU